rnacentral:ribozyme from 13 species
ACUGGAAGGAAGGUGUUGCCAUCAAAAAUAGAAAGAAAAAGAAAAAGAGAUUCUCUUCUUUUUCGUUUUUUG